GAUUCAAUUGUUGACAAAAAGUAUGUAAUUUGUGCAACACAAAAUGAUAUCCAAGUAAAUUGUUAUGCCAGUCCAUCUGGAGUGUGACUUUAGAUAGACCCGUUUUAGCAAAGGUUUUGCAUAAUUGAUCCAUUCUAAAAUGAUCUGACAACGAUAUGAUUAAAACCGACUUUGGCCUCUAUAUUAGCUGGCAUUUUGUACGAUUAUUUACCCUACAAUUUAUCCAAAAGGUAAUCGAAUGUUACAUUAGAGGCAUCCUCAACCUGAAGGAUAAUGCUGGCCGUCUAUACCUCCUGGAUCACUACACCAUGGGUGUGAUCCUACACGGCACACGAGAGCAGAUGGCCAGGCAAGAGCUAAAAAAGGUCACAUUUGAUCUUAUGAUGGAGCCAUUGGAUUUGUGAAUAUAAGAAAUGUGCACUGGAGGUUUGUGUUCGUUUCGUUGGCUAACGUUAGCUAAAGCUAGCACUACUAGUUAGCUACGCGAUGGUUUGUUGCUUUGCUCCGGGUUGCAGCCACAGGUCUUCGCAUGAAACGUGCUCGUUCUAUCGUUUCCCGGCCAAUGUUUUCCAAAGGAGAGUCUGGAUUCGUGCCAUGAGGGACACUUUACCUCCAGCACAGCGGAAGACCCUACCAGACCAUCUGGAGAUGCCCCCAACAAUCCUGAUUGGGAGAGCCACAAACCUGACUCAUGGACCUGCAUCUGGGUUGCAGUGGUGAAUGCCCUGACGCCCUCACAUUCAUUCAUAGUCCCCCACUGUACAGACAAAACACCAUCAAGGGCCUGUUGUUGUCCUAGCACCCUGGCACUAAGGGAAGCAGUCACACACUUUGACCUCAGGACAGCUCCAACGUUGCUGACAGUCAACCUUCCUUUCCUGAACAAAUGCCAGUUUGGGUUGGUUCGCUGACCAGUGGUAGCCGCCUGCAUUGCCCUCUGUUGCUCCUCAGACAAUGCCAUGCUUGCCACAAUUGCCUCAGGUCCAUGAUGCUUGAUAAUUUCAGGAACAGUAAGUGUUUCCAAGCUGUAGUGUUCCUCUUCUGGCUCGGGGGAGAGAAGCCAAGAUAUUCCUGAGAACCUGCCCCCGAGUCUGUCCCUCAGCCAGUCACGAUCUUCGGAGGUGGGCUCUCUUGUCAGCCAGUUGAAUGAGUUAUUGGUUGGAGGAAAUAGCUCCUCCACUGAAUGCGUACGUUUAGCUGCCUUUGGCUUCUUCCACUGACAGGGGGUGUCAGUGCAGCUGAAAUUGUGGAUGGCAAAGAUGGCUAAUGCAGCCGCAUGACUGCAUUUCCAUUCUCCACAUGGGCAUUCACAUUUUGUGGAGAGAAUUCCCUCUUCUCCUGUAGAUACCUGUGGUGGUGGGAUUGUUUUAUUAUUUUAAAUAUAUUUACAUUUGUAAUGCCUUCCCAAUUAUCCCUUUAAUUGUUUAUAGCCUACUGUAUGUUUAUUUCAUGGAUAUUUCUGUGUUUUCUGGUGUGUAAUAUUUGUAAUAAAGAUUUCAUGUGACACAUAAAAUGGAUUUG